CCUACGGGCGGCAGCAGUGGGGAAUAUUGCACAAUGGGGGAAACCCUGAUGCAGCGACGCCGCGUGAGUGAAGCAGUAAUUCGUUACGUAAAGCUCUAUCAGCAGGGAAGAAAAUGACGGUACCUGAGUAAGAAGCCCCGGCUAACUACGUGCCAGCAGCCGCGGUAAUACGGAGGGGGCCAGCGUUAUCCGGAUUUACUGGGUGUAAAGGGAGCGUAGACGGUGUGCCAAGUCUGGAGUGAAAUGCCGCGGCUUAACUGCGGAACUGCUUUGGAAACUGGCGAACUAGAGUGCGGGAGGGGUAAGCGGAAUGGCUAGUGUAGCGGUGAAAUGCGUAGAUAUUAGGAGGAACACCGGUGGCGAAGGCGGCUUACUGGACCGUAACUGACGUUGAGGCUCGAAAGCGUGGGGAGCAAACAGGAUUAGAUACCCCUGUAGUC
rnacentral:rRNA from 1 species